CCUUGUUGUCAAGGACGUUUAAUCUUAUCUGCCUCAGGUCUCCAGCAUCCCUUCAAGUUUUUUCUUGAAUUCUCGACAAUGAUAUUUCCUGUUACCAACAAUGUCAUUAAUCAUUAUAAUUGUUUUCUCUCAUUUUCUUUUGGGCAUACAGAGAUUGAAUGGAACAACAACUAGGAUGCGAAGACUGACUUUGCUCAUGGAGAAAAGAGGCGUCUUGUGAAAUUUCUUCUACUUGUAUAUGCAAAGUUUUUUUAAUCUGUGUGAGCUUAUGUAAUGCUAGUGUUAAAACAUAAUUUGGAUAUGAUUUUUCUCUCCAUCUCAAUCGUUGUUACCCAAAUUCAUGUGACAGUAAAUACAAAUGUGUGCUAUAAACAGGAAACUUUGAAUACCAUGAAAUCCUAUACUAUCAACAUAGAUGUUUAAUCACACCAGUGGAUGACAAAACGUAAAGCAGAGAUGCAUAUAUAUUUCAAGUUGAGAAUAGAAGGUGAGAUUUAAGGAAAGAUGGGUGGUGAUUCUAAUGCAAACAGUCAGUCAGCCUCUUGACUGGCUUAGCUGUGCUCCAAUAGUAACAUUAACAGGCCCUUCAUCAACUGGCACAAACUAAAUGAACAGACCGAUAAGGAGGGCCAGGAACUCGACCUGCAUGGCACAAAAUAAUAUCUUAAAAGUGUGUGUUAAUCUACUUCAAUAAAGUAGUGAAGGUUGGGUUCAGGCCUUGAUCAUUCAGACAUGUUAAGACUGUCUUCUGAAAUAAAGGAAUUAGUGUUGGAAGAAGUCUUACGGUUAGUAGUGAACCCUGUCUGAAGUUGAUCAUCGAUGGAAACCGGACAUUGUCUUCAAAUAACCAAAAGACAUUUGCAAAUUUGGUUCCUCGUGGUUAGCCC
rnacentral:lncRNA from 1 species